rnacentral:tmRNA from 1 species
GGGGGCGAACCGGAUUCGACCGGGCAUGUGAAGUGACGGGCUGCGUGUCGUGGUUGGUCAGCGGGCCACGUUAAAAGCCGACUAUAAAAUUAAUUGCCAACGAAAGUAUGGCUAUGGCUGCCUAAGAAAAGGCAACCCCGAUUACGAGUCUUCGCCGAAGAGAUGAGCUAAUCGGACGUCAAUUUCGGAUCGUCUUUCGUCACGCCGAACACGCGAAAGAUUAAAUUCUGUUUUCGGACCGCCUGAGGAAGACCGCCGCCGGGUUCGGGCUUCGACAGGUUAAACUCAAACAGGCCGGAUACACACGUAGACGCUCCCAUGGAGCUGUCACGGGACGCGGGUUCGAUUCCCGCCGCCUCCAUCC